rnacentral:rRNA from 1 species
GUGGGGAAUCUUGCGCAAUGGGCGAAAGCCUGACGCAGCCAUGCCGCGUGAAUGAUGAAGGUCUUAGGAUUGUAAAAUUCUUUCACCGGGGACGAUAAUGACGGUACCCGGAGAAGAAGCUCCGGCUAACUUCGUGCCAGCAGCCGCGGUAAUACGAAGGGGGCUAGCGUUGCUCGGAAUUACUGGGCGUAAAGGGCGCGUAGGCGGACAGCUUAGUCAGAGGUGAAAGCCCAGGGCUCAACCUUGGAAUUGCCUUUGAUACUGGCUGUCUUGAGUUUGGGAGAGGUGAGUGGAACUCCGAGUGUAGAGGUGAAAUUCGUAGAUAUUCGGAAGAACACCAGUGGCGAAGGCGACACACUGGCUCAUUACUGACGCUGAGGCGCGAAAGCGUGGGGAGCAAACAGGAUUAGAUACCCGAGUAGUCC